CCUACGGGAGGCAGCAGUGAGGAAUAUUGGUCAAUGGACGAGAGUCUGAACCAGCCAAGUAGCGUGAAGGAUGACUGCCCUAUGGGUUGUAAACUUCUUUUAUAUGGGAAUAAAACGUUCCACGUGUGGGAUUUUGUAUGUACCAUAUGAAUAAGGAUCGGCUAACUCCGUGCCAGCAGCCGCGGUAAUACGGAGGAUCCGAGCGUUAUCCGGAUUUAUUGGGUUUAAAGGGAGCGUAGGUGGAUUGUUAAGUCAGUUGUGAAAGUUUGCGGCUCAACCGUAAAAUUGCAGUUGAAACUGGCAGUCUUGAGUACAGUAGAGGUGGGCGGAAUUCGUGGUGUAGCGGUGAAAUGCUUAGAUAUCACGAAGAACUCCGAUUGCGAAGGCAGUUCACUGGACUGCAACUGACACUGAGGCUCGAAAGUGUGGGUAUCAAACAGGAUUAGAUAUCCCUGUAGUC
rnacentral:rRNA from 1 species